rnacentral:rRNA from 1 species
UAGCCGUAAACGAUACUCGCUAGGUGUCGGCCACGGUGCGACCGUUGUCGGUGCCGUAGGGAAGCCGUGAAGCGAGCCACCUGGGAAGUACGGCCGCAAGGCUGAAACUUAAAGGAAUUGGCGGGGGGGGCACAACAACGGGUGGAGCUUGCGGUUUAAUUGGAUUCAACGCCGGAAAUCUUACCGGGACCGACAGCAACAUGAAGGCCAAGCUGAAGACUUUGCCGGAUUAGCUGAGAGGAGGUGCAUGGCGUAGUCGUGU